CACGUAGGGCGCAAGCGUUGUCCGGAAUUAUUGGGCGUAAAGAGCUCGUAGGCGGUCUGUUACGUCUGCUGUGAAAACCCUGGGCUUAACCCUGGGCUUGCAGUGGAUACGGGCAGACUAGAGGCAGGUAGGGGAGAAUGGAAAUCCCGGUGUAGCGGUGAAAUGCGCAGAUAUCGGGAGGAACACCGGUGGCGAAGGCGGUUCUCUGGGCCUGACCUGACGCUGAGGAGCGAAAGCGUGGGGAGCGAACAGG
rnacentral:rRNA from 1 species